rnacentral:rRNA from 1 species
CAAUAGCGUAUAUUAAAGUUGUUGCAGUUAAAAAGCUCGUAGUUGGAUUUCUGCUGAGGACGAUCGGUCCGCCCACUGGGUGAGUAUCUGGCUCGGCCUUGGCAUCUUCUUGGAGAACGUUGCUGCACUUGACUGUGUGGCGCGGUAUCCAGGACUUUUACUUUGAGGAAAUUAGAGUGUUUCAAGCAGGCGCACGCCUUGAAUACAUUAGCAUGGAAUAAUGAGAUAGGACCUUGGUUCUAUUUUGUUGGUUUCUAGAGCUGAGGUAAUGAUUAAUAGGGAUAGUUGGGGGCAUUCGUAUUUAACUGUCAGAGGUGAAAUUCUUGGAUUUGUUAAAGAGGGACUACUGCGAAAGCAUUUGCCAAGGAUGUUUUCAUUGA